rnacentral:lncRNA from 1 species
UGCAAUAAAACCUCAGUUUAAUUUGAUGACGUUUGGUUGUGCCCCUAGACAAUUGUACUGUUGAUGGCCGUGGAGCCAAAGACUGUAGCUGCUUCUGCAAGCUGCUAUUGCUGCUGCUGCUGGUGGCUGCCUGCACGAUAAUCGAAAACAUUGAUUUUUCUGAGUCAUGGUAACAUAUACAAUGGCAACGGUGUCUACUAAAGCAGAUAGUUGUGUACUGCAGUAGCCAUUAAUUUUGUCUAAAGAAGAUCAGCUACCGAUAUUUUUAAAUUGUCGGAGAAACUUAAUAAGGAACAGACCAUACCUAUCUUCAAAUUUUCAUUAACCCGAAUUACUGAUGAUGGUUAGAGAAAUAUUGCACGACUUAGUUAUUUAUAACAUUGAUUGAUAAAGGCUAAAAAAACCAGUUAUCAGCCUUGCCUGAUUCUCCUCUUCUUGCUUUCCUGCUUUUUUGUAUGUCUUCUUCUCUAUCAUGGCCUUUUUCUUUUGCUGUAGACAGAUCAAAGUUGAAGAGAAUGGAUAGAUACUGGUGUUUCUUGUUAUACUGCUGUGCCUUUAUUGAAUUAAUUAGAGAAAUGAAGCUGUUU